rnacentral:rRNA from 1 species
UACGGAGGGUGCAAGCGUUAAUCGGAAUCACUGGGCGUAAAGCGCUCGUAGGCGGCAUGGUCAGUCAGACGUGAAAUCCCGUGGCUUAACCGCGGAACUGCGUUUGAUACUGCCAGGCUUGAGUGUCGGAGAGGGUGGCGGAAUUCCGGGUGUAGGAGUGAAAUCCGUAGAUAUCCGGAGGAACACCAGUGGCGAAGGCGGCCACCUGGACGACAACUGACGCUGAGGAGCGAAAGCGUGGGGAGCAAACAGG